AGUAACUGCGAGUGAAGCGGGAAAAGCUCAAAUUUAAAAUCUGGUGGCCUUUGGCCAUCCGAGUUGUAAUUUAGAGAAGCGUUUUCCGCGCUGGACCGUGCACAAGUCUCCUGGAAUGGAGCGUCAUAGAGGGUGAGAAUCCCGUCUUUGGCACGGACACACCAGGGCUUUGUGAUGCGCUCUCGAAGAGUCGAGUUGUUUGGGAAUGCAGCUCAAAAUGGGUGGUGAACUCCAUCUAAAGCUAAAUAUUGGCGAGAGACCGAUAGCGAACAAGUACCGUGAGGGAAAGAUGAAAAGCACUUUGGAAAGAGAGUGAAACAGUACGUGAAAUUGUUGAAAGGGAAACGCUUGAAGUCAGUCGCGUCGACCGAGACUCAGCCUUGCCUUGGCUUGGUGUACUUCUCGGCUGACGGGUCAGCAUCAAUUUUGCCUCUUGGAUAAUGGCAAGGGAAAUGUGACACCUUUACGGUGUGUUAUAGUCUCUUGUCGCAUGCAAGGGUUGGGAUUGAGGAACUCAGCACGCGCCUUCGGGUGUCGGGGCUUUGCCCACGAUACGUGCUUAGGAUGUUGGCGUAAUGGCUUUAAACGACCCGUCUUGAAACACGGACCAAGGAGUCUAACAUGCCUGCGAGUGUUCGGGUGGAAAACCCGUGCGCGCAAUGAAAGUGAAAGUUGGGACCUCUGUCGUGGAGGGCACCGACGCCCGGACCAGACCUUCUGUGACGGCUCUGCGGUAAAGCAUGUAUGUUAGGACCCGAAAGAUGGUGAACUAUGCCUGAAUAGGGUGAAGCCAGAGGAAACUCUGGUGGAGGCUCGUAGCGAUUCUGACGUGCAAAUCGAUCGUCAAAUUUGGGUAUAGGGGCGAAAGACUAAUCGAACCAU
rnacentral:rRNA from 1 species